GAUUCAACAGGUCUGGAGGAGGGCCCAAGAAUUUGCAUUCUAACCAGUUCUCAGGUGACGCUGAUACAGCUGGUCGAGAGACCACACUUUGAGAAGUAAUGUCCUAGAGUAUCUCGAACCACUCUUACAACUUGAAGCAGAGACUAGAAACAGUACUUGGCUAUUUCAAGCCAAGCAAAGUGCUGCUGUUGUGUUAUAAAAGAAGGAGACCACGCAGGCUCUCGACUUUCCUAAUCACCAGAGGCCAUGUCUAGAAUCAGAAAGAAGGGCCCCCAGAAAAUCUUCUGAUGAGAGUGGGAACAGAACUUCAGCUUUAAUCCUGGUGUCUUGACAAGCUCAAAGAGGCAAACAUCACUUAACGUGACAAGCAAACCAUAACUGCGGUGCGAAAACACUGUUAGUCAGGAUCGUUUAUGCUUCUAAGUGAGAGGCUUCUUCCACGUAUUCUCCCAGCAGGGAGGUGAAGGGGUCACACCACCUGACACUCAAAAAAGCACUAGCUGUCUCCCAAAGGGCAUCCAGCGCGUGGACUUUGGAUGGACUUUCCUCGUCAGGCAAAACCAAGUUCCAAGGAUAUUGAUCAAAAUCAAGGAGCUAAUGAGUGGCAGAGCUGAAAUUCAAAUUCGGACUCCAGGCUCUGUCAUCUUUCCACGUAUCAGCUGCCCCAUUUGUCUUGUGGGUUCCCUGCCUCCUCCAGCCAGCCUUUUUUGUGCCCUUCAAUCCCUAGUAAAGUGGCAUAUGAAUAAUAAAUAGUGGUUAAUAUUUAUCGUGAGCUUACAAUAUUCUCCAUAUUUUAUAAGUGGUCUACAGGGGUUAUCAUUUAAUUCUCACCACCCUAUGAUGUAAAUCCUAUUAUUUUUAUCCUAAGGUGCAAGGUGAGACCUCUGAGGUUCAGAGACGUUAAAUAACUUUACCAAGGUCACACAGCAAUUAAAUCAUAGGGCCAGGAUUUAAACCCAGGCAAUCUGGCUCCUGAGCCUAUGCAUUUAGCCACUGUGCCAUGCCACCCCCGCCCUUUGUAAUCGGCCCUCAGAGAAUCUUUGUGGAUUGAUUGGUGACACCAC
rnacentral:lncRNA from 1 species